rnacentral:rRNA from 1 species
UACGUAGGUGGCAAGCGUUGUUCGGAAUUACUGGGCGUAAAGGGCUCGUAGGCGGCCAACUAAGUCGGAUGUGAAAUCCCCAAGCUUAACUUGGGAACUGCAUCCGAUACUGGAUGGCUUGAAUCCGGGAGAGGGAUGCAGAAUUCCAGGUGUAGCGGUGAAAUGCGUAGAUAUCUGGAGGAAUACCGGUGGCGAAGGCGGCAUCCUGGACCGGCAUUGACGCUGAGGAGGCGAAAGCUGAGGGG